UUUACUUUUGCCACAUACCGGUUAUUGAGCAAUCUGUUUGUUACUGUCGCCUUCAACAUAUCAUGAUCCUGCUUCUUGUACAUUAACUUUUAGUCUUGUUAAAAUAAUGAAAUGAACAUUUCUACAGUGGAAUUGUGGGUUCCGCCCAUAUGUAAAUGAAGCUGGGCUGCCGCUGUACCAAUGGGAAGCUGAUUCUAACUGAAACCCACAGCCGACCGUUGGUGAGUGCCACGUGAUCUGGACUGCGAAUUAUUCCAGUGACCAUAUCAAAGAUGGCGACCGCCUGUAUCAAGUGGCUUGUUGUACGCAUGUGUAACGUUCUGCUUAUUCCAUCUUUAAUGUAGUCAAUAAAGUUCUAUUUGUUUC